rnacentral:piRNA from 1 species
UAUCAGCUCAAUUUUAGAAGGGCAAGUC